CCACGGGAGGCAGCAGUGGGGAAUAUUGCACAAUGGGGGAAACCCUGAUGCAGCGACGCCGCGUGAGUGAAGAAGUAUUUCGGUAUGUAAAGCUCUAUCAGCAGGGAAGAAAAUGACAGUACCUGACCAAGAAGCCCCUGCUAACUACGUGCCAGCAGCCGCGGUAAUACGUAGGGGGCAAGCGUUAUCCGGAUUUACGGGGUGUAAAGGGAGCGUAGACGGUGAUGUAAGUCUGGAGUGAAAGCCCGGGGCUCAACCCCGGGACUGCUUUGGAAACUGUGUAGCUGGAGUACAGGAGGGGGAGGCGGAAUUCCUGGUGUAGCGGUGAAAUGCGUAGAUAUCAGGAGGAACACCGGCGGCGAAGGCGGCCUGCUGGACUGAAACUGACGUUGAGGCUCGAAAGCGUGGGGAGCAAACAGGAUUAGAUACCCCAGUAGUC
rnacentral:rRNA from 1 species